rnacentral:tRNA from 1 species
GGGGUUGUGGCUCAGUGGCAUAGCACUUGCCUGGCACGUGAGAGGGACUGGGUUCAAUUCUCAGCACCA